rnacentral:misc_RNA from 1 species
UACAGAGGGUGCGAGCGUUAAUCGGAUUUACUGGGCGUAAAGCGUGCGUAGGCGGCUUUUUAAGUCGGAUGUGAAAUCCCCGGGCUUAACUUGGGAAUUGCAUUCGAUACUGGGAAGCUAGAGUAUGGGAGAGGAUGGUAGAAUUCCCGGUGUAGCGGUGAAAUGCGUAGAUAUUGGGAGGAAUACCAGUGGCGAAGGCAGCCAGCUGGCCUAAUACUGACGCUGAGGUACGAAAGCAUGGGGAGCAAACAGG